ACCUGGCUGGCUCAGCUUGUAGAGCAUAUGACUCUUGAUCUCAGGAUUGUGAGUUCAAGUCCCAUGUUGGGUA
rnacentral:tRNA from 1 species